rnacentral:tRNA from 1 species
AAAGGUUUAGUUAAUUCAUAACAUUAGAAUGUCAAACUAAAAUAAUCAUUUUGAUAAUCUUUG